rnacentral:rRNA from 1 species
UACGUAGGGUGCGAGCGUUAAUCGGAAUUACUGGGCGUAAAGUGUGCGCAGGCGGCCCGCUAAGUCGAACGUGAAAUCCCCAGGCUCAACCUGGGAACUGCGUCCGAUACUGGCAGGCUUGAAUCCGGGAGAGGGAUGUGGAAUUCCAGGUGUAGCGGUGAAAUGCGUAGAUAUCUGGAGGAACACCGGUGGCGAAGGCGGCAUCCUGGACCGGUAUUGACGCUGAGGCGCGAAAGCUAGGGGAGCAAACGGG